GUCCCCCAACACAGAAGUUCGUGCACGCUCCAUGUAGCGCCUUCUCCCAUAUGCCUGAACGGGCCACCUGGAUACCAAAGCCCAAACAUCAGUUUCAGCAGCCACAGUCUGCUACAGCCUGUUGGCCCCUUGAAAGUUGAGACAGCGCCAUGCAUGCACAGGCAGGCCUGGUGAACCAGCGUGUGUGCAGCUGUCCUGCUGCUCACUGCUGC
rnacentral:lncRNA from 1 species